CUGAAAUGUCAUUUGAAAGAAGAAUUAAUAUUUGCGACCAACUUUGUUGAUCAUAUGAAGUCGUGUAUUGAUCAUAACAACUUGAAAAAUAAAAAUGCGAGAAGUGCAUCAUUGCAGAAUAGCUGAGCAAAGAUUACGAGAUGGAAUCAGAAUGAAUCCCGCCAGUUGGCAUGGCUGCAAUGUGUUUGUACACGAUUUGGUUCGAAUUGAUGUGAAUAUUAUGGCUGAGAUACACAGGAAGGAAGUGGUUAAGUUUAUAACACUUUGUCAACUAUUUGCGAAAAAUAUGUUGGGCACUCAAAGCGCUUGAAAACAAAUCGAAUCUCCGAUUAGAUAAGCAAUGGAUUGGCGCCUCGGAACACACAUCGUCCAAAUUGAUAUAAAUUGUGUCAUUUUUAUUAAUAAAAAAAAACGAA